rnacentral:rRNA from 1 species
AGAGUUUGAUCCUGGCUCAGAACGAACGCUGGCGGCAGGCUUAACACAUGCAAGUCGAACGCUCCGCAAGGAGAGUGGCAGACGGGUGAGUAACGCGUGGGAACAUACCCCUCGGUUCGGAAUAACUCAGGGAAACUUGAGCUAAUACCGAAUACGGUCGAGAGGCGAAAGAUUUAUCGCCGAGGGAUUGGCCCGCGUCCGAUUAGCUAGUUGGUGAGGUAAUGGCUCACCAAGGCGACGAUCGGUAGCUGGUCUGAGAGGAUGAUCAGCCACAUUGGGACUGAGACACGGCCCAAACUCCUACGGGAGGCAGCAGUGGGGAAUAUUGGACAAUGGGCGAAAGCCUGAUCCAGCCAUGCCGCGUGAGUGAUGACGGCCUUAGGGUUGUAAA